rnacentral:rRNA from 1 species
AAACCAGCACCUCAAGUGGUCAGGAGGAUUAUUGGGCCUAAAGCAUCCGUAGCCUGUUCUGUAAGUUUUCGGUUAAAUCCAUUAGCUCAACUAAUGGGCCGCCGAAAAUACUGUAGAACUAGGGAGUGGGAGAGGUAGACGGUAUUCGGUAGGAAGGGGUAAAAUCCUUUGAUCUAUUGAGGACCACCUGUGGCGAAGGCGGUCUACCAGAACACGUUCGACGGUGAGGGAUGAAAGCUGGGGGAGCAAACCGGAUUAGAAACCCUGGUAGUCC